rnacentral:rRNA from 1 species
GACUACCAGGGUAUCUAAGCCUGUUUGCUCCCCACGCUUUCGCUCCUCAGCGUCAGGAAAUGUCCAGAGAACCGCCUUCGCCACUGGUGUUCCUCCUGAUAUCUGCGCAUUCCACCGCUCCACCAGGAAUUCCGUUCUCCCCUACAUCCCUCAAGUCUGCCCGUAUCGAAAGCAAGCCCACAGUUAAGCCGUGGGUUUUCACUUCCGACGCAACAAACCGCCUACGAGCUCUUUACGCCCAAUAAAUCCGGACAACGCUCGCACCCUACGUAUCACCGCGGCUGCUGGCACGUAGUUAGCCGGUGCUUCUUCUCCGCCUACCGUCACAUUCGUCGGCAGUGAAAGCGGUUUACAACCCGAAGGCCUUCAUCCCGCACGCGGCGUUGCUGCAUCAGGCUUCCGCCCAUUGUGCAAUAUUCCCCACUGCAGCCCCCCGUAGG